rnacentral:rRNA from 1 species
GAGUUUGAUCAUGGCUCAGAACGAACGCUGGCGGCAGGCCUAACACAUGCAAGUCGAGCGCUGUAGCAAUACAGAGCGGCGCACGGGUGAGUAACACGUGGGAACGUGCCCUUUGGUUCGGAAUAACUCAGGGAAACUUGAGCUAAUACCGGAUGAGCCCUAACGGGGAAAGAUUUAUCGCCGAAGGAGCGGCCCGCGUUGGAUUAGCUAGUUGGUGGGGUAAAAGCCUACCAAGGCAACGAUCCAUAGCUGGUUUGAGAGAACGACCAGCCACACUGGGACUGAGACACGGCCCAGACUCCUACGGGAGGCAGCAGUGGGGAAUCUUGGACAAUGGGGGAAACCCUGAUCCAGCCAUGCCGCGUGAGUGAUGAAGGCCCUAGGGUUGUAAAACUCUUUCGGCGGGGACGAUAAUGACGGUACCCGCAGAAGAAGCUCCGGCUAACUUCGUGCCAGCCGCCGCCGUAAU